AGAAUUGCCAUUUGCCACCACACACGUUGUUAGUUUUACAUUUUCUGGCAAAUUGCCGGUCCAUAGAUUUGCUAAUCGGGAUCUAAAUCUGAAAUUAAAUUCUAUAAUCCCGGUUAUUUACAUAUAUCUAUAUAUUACAAAAAUUGUGCAGUGUGUCGGUGCAGACUCACAUACUUGCAAGCGCAGCAAGGAUGAAGGUGAUAGAGAAGAUCCAGGAGUCUUUGGUGGAUGAGAAGAAGGUGGUCUUCUCCUUCGAGUUCUUCCCCCCAAAGACCGAGGAUGGCGUCGAGAAUCUCUUGGAGAGGAUGGAUCGGAUGGUCGCCCACGGCCCCGCCUUCUGCGACAUUACCUGGGGUGCCGGUGGCUCCACCGCCGAUCUCACUCUCGACAUUGCCAACAAGAUGCAGAACCUCAUCUGCGUCGAGAGCAUGAUGCACCUCACCUGCACCAACAUGCCCGUCGACAAGAUCGACCACGCCCUCCAAACCAUCAAGUCCAACGGCCUCCAGAACGUUCUUGCUCUCCGCGGCGACCCGCCCCAUGGCCAGGACAAGUUUGUUCAGAUCCAAGGAGGCUUUGCCUGCGCCCUCGACCUGGUCACCCAUAUCAGAGCCAAAUAUGGCGACUACUUCGGCGUCACUGUUGCUGGUUAUCCAGAGGCUCACCCGGACGCCAUUGCCGCCGAUGGCCUCGCCUCUCCAGAAGCAUAUCAGAGUGAUCUCGCUUAUUUGAAGAGAAAGGUUGAUGCUGGCGCCGAUUUCAUCGUCACUCAGUUGUUCUACGACACUGAUAUUUUCCUCAAAUUCGUGAAUGACUGUCGCCAAAUUGGAAUUACUUGCCCCAUUGUUCCUGGAAUUAUGCCCAUCAAUAACUACAAGGGUUUCAUACGCAUGACUGGCUUCUGCAAAACCAAGAUACCAGCUGAGGUUACCGCUGCCUUGGAGCCUAUCAAGGACAACGAAGAAGCUGUGAGAUUGUACGGAAUUCACCUUGGAACCGAGAUGUGCAAGAAGAUUUUGGCUUCCGGGAUUAGGACUUUGCAUCUUUAUACUCUCAACAUGGAGAAAUCUGCGUUGGCUAUAUUGCAGAAUCUUGGUCUGAUUGAAGAGUCCAAAAUAUCAAGGCCCUUACCUUGGAGGCGCCCUGCAAAUGUUUUCCGUGUUAAAGAAGAUGUUCGUCCAAUUUUCUGGGCUAAUCGUCCCAAGAGCUACAUAUCAAGAACCAUAGGCUGGGAACUAUACCCACAUGGGCGGUGGGGUGAUUCCGGUAACCCUUCAUAUGGAGCACUGACUGAUUAUCAGUUCAUGCGGCCGCGUGCACGUGACAAGAAACUUGUUGAGGAAUGGGUUGUCCCAUUGAAGAGCGUUGAAGAUAUCUGCGAGAAAUUUAAGAAAUUCUGCCUUGGAAAAUUGAAAGCAGCCCUUGGUCUGAACUAGAUGGGCUUCAGCCAGAGACGGGGAUCAUAAAUGAAUCGCUAGGAAAAAUUAACACUAAGGGUUUCCUUACCAUCAACAGCCAACCAGCGGUAAAUGGGGAAAGAUCUGACUCGCUGUCUGUUGGGUGGGGUGGUCCUGGAGGAUAUGUUUAUCAGAAAGCCUAUCUAGAGUUUUUCUGUUCGAAGGAAAAGUUGGAUGCUCUUGUUGAAAAAUGCAAGGCUCUUCCAUCUCUAACUUACAUGGCCGUGAACAAAGAUGGGAGCUGGGUAUCUAAUACUGGCCAGACUGCUGUGAAUGCGGUAACAUGGGGUGUCUUUCGAGCAAGGGAGAUUAUCCAACCAACUGUCGUAGAUCCUGCCAGUUUUAUAGUUUGGAAGGAUGAGGCAUUUGAAAUCUGGUCAAGAGGAUGGGCCCGCUUAUACCCCGAGGGUGACUCAUCUAGGAAAUUGCUUGAAGAGGUGCAGAGCAGCUACUAUUUGGUCAGUUUGGUAGAUAAUGACUACAUCCACGGUGAUGUUUUUGCUGUUUUUGCCGAUGUUUGAAUGAGCUGUUUUGUCAACUCUUCCGUUUCUUAAAUCCCUUAAAAGUGGUGCUUUCAUUGCAAGUCCGAUUAUAAAUUUGAUGUCAUUAAGUUGUGUAAUAAUAACUCGUUGGGAUUUUUGAAUAUCCCCUGUUUCAAUUUCAUGGUGCAAAUUGCGCGUAUAUCAUACGAUCUGGUUCUUUGUUGGUUCGCUUCUCGUAUGUAGUUUGUGGCAAUGUAAUCCACAUUAUAUGAUUUGUACUUGAUGUUCUCUCUUUAAUCUUUAUAAAUUUAUAUUGUCGCGUAUAA